UACCAGCACCCCGAGUGGUCGGGACGUUUAUCGGGCCUAAAGCAUCCGUAGCCGGUUCUACAAGUCUUCCGUUAAAUCCAGCUGCUUAACAGAUGGGCUGCGGAAGAUACUAUGGAGCUAGGAGGCGGGAGAGGCAAGCGGUACUCGAUGGGUAGGGGUAAAAUCCGUUGAUCCAUUGAAGACCACCAGUGGCGAAGGCGGCUUGCCAGAACGCGCUCGACGGUGAGGGAUGAAAGCUGGGGGAGCAAACCGG
rnacentral:rRNA from 1 species